UGAGAGCUUUGGUGACUUUUUUCCACCUCCUCCUCCCCCCACCCCCGUGUGAACACUUAACUUCCCCAGCUCGAUCCACUCUGGGAGCACAUCCACACCUGGCUGCUGUCGGAAACUGGAGAUGCUAUGUGAUUCUUAAGCUUCUUAAGCCUGAAAGCUGCAGGAGCAAAGAGCUGAUGCUGAGAAAGAUUGAGGGCAGAAGGAGAAGAGGGUGACAGAAGAUGAGAUGGCUGGAUGGCAUCACCGAUUCAAUGGACAUGAACUUGGGCAAACUCCAGGAGAUGGUCCAACAACAUGAGCUGGGUCCUGAUAGUGAGCCGGACACUCAUCUCUCCCUCAGGGACCCUCACGUGAACCCUUGGCAGAUGAGGGCACUGGGGCCCGGAACCUUCCCACUGGCUUCCCGCGCCAGUCACAAAGCAGUAGAGAGUAACUCAAGCUUACAGAUGAACGCUUGAGGCAGCCUCUGAGCAACUUACACACGUUCACACUUGAAAUGAAUCAGGCGCUUUUGAAAUUCCCUUUUCACCAAAGGGCAGAGAGAAACCAAGACUUCCUAAGAAGCUGCACUAGGCUCGGCCAGCCCACUAAAACAGGAAGCUCCAAGGCCCUGGAGUCGGGCCGACUGACCCCCAGUCCUGGCACCCUCACUCGCAGGUGCCCUGGGAUGAAUGACUCACCAUCUCUAGUCCCAUGUGUAAACCGGGAUUAGCAAUACCUACCUUGUGAGAUUACUGUGACACUUGGAAAUAACGUAGACCUUUAACAAUGCUCAUUCUGUUGUGUUGGUGUUAUGUGAAAACAGCCUCUGACCAAGCAGAUUGUGUGUGCUUCUGAGCCUGUAGAAGUAAAUACUUAAAUAACCUACUCCCCCAAACCCAACCAUCUCUUAGCACAGCAGUCACCUUCCCUGCAUCAGGGGGCUGACCCCUUGGCACAUCGCUGGCUCCUCUACACAGUCCUGGCCUGUGUGCACCCCAAGCCCUGGCCUUAGAGACCUGAGCUGGACCCUGAAACCCCCCACCUGACCAG